rnacentral:rRNA from 1 species
UAUCCAGACUCCUACGGGAGGCAGCAGUGAGGAAUAUUGGUCAAUGGGCGAGAGCCUGAACCAGCCAAGCCGCGUGAGGGAGGAAGGUACAGAGUAUCGUAAACCUCUUUUGUCAGGGAACAAAGACUGGGACGCGUCCCCGGAUGAGUGUACCUGAAGAAAAAGCAUCGGCUAACUCCGUGCCAGCAGCCGCGGUAAUACGGAGGAUGCGAGCGUUAUCCGGAUUUAUUGGGUUUAAAGGGUGCGUAGGCGGAAUGCCAAGUCAGCGGUAAAAUCGCGGGGCUCAACCUCGCUCCGCCGUUGAAACUGGGGAUCUAGAGUGUGCGAGAGGUAUGCGGAAUGCGUGGUGUAGCGGUGAAAUGCAUAGAUAUCACGCAGAACCCCGAUUGCGAAGGCAGCAUACCGGUGCACAACUGACGCUCAGGCACGAAAGCGUGGGUAUCGAACAGGAUUAGAUACCCUAGUA